GACGAACGCUGGCGGCGUGCCUAAUACAUGCAAGUCGAACGCAGUGGGGACGGGUGAGUAACACGUGGGUAACCUCCCAGCAGAGGGGAUAACCCUUGGAAACAGGUGCUAAACCGAUACUGAUGGAUGUACCCGCGGUGCAUUAGCUAGUUGGUGGGGGAACGGCGCACCAAGGCCACGAUGCAUAGCGGACCGAAGAGGGUGAUCGGCCACACUGGGACUGAGACACGGCCCAGACUCCUACGGGAGGCAGCAGUGGGGAAUAUUGCACAAUGGGCGCAAGCCUGAUGCAGCCAUGCCGCGUGUAUGAAGAAGGCCUUCGGGUUGUAAAGUACUUUCAGCGGGGAGGCGUUACCCGCAGAAGAAGCACCGGCUAACUCCGUGCCAGCAGCCGCGGUAAUUC
rnacentral:rRNA from 1 species